AUAAACGCUGGCGGCGUGCAUGAGACAUGCAAGUCGAACGGACGACUCGGGCUUGCUCGAGUCGUUAGUGGCGGACGGCUGAGUAACGCGUAGGUGACCUGCCCCGAAGUGGGAAGUAACUGCCGAACGGGUAGGCUAAUACCGCAUGUGGUGGUGCGAUCAUUCGCACCAGUAAAGACCGCAAGGCGCUUCGGGAGGGGCCUGCGUCCGAUUAGCUCGUUGGUGGGGUAACGGCUCACCAAGGCGACGAUCGGUAGGUGGUCUGAGAGGACGAUC
rnacentral:rRNA from 1 species